GAGAAGUGCUGACCACAGAGGAG
rnacentral:piRNA from 1 species